CUCUGAUCUUAGUUGAGUUAAUUUCCACGUCACAGCUUGUCAUCAUAAUUACAGAUUAUUCAUCGAGACUUGGCUGCAAGAAACAUUCUUCUUGGACAUGGAUACACUGCAAAAGUUGGUGACUUUGGGCUAGCCAGAGACGUCUAUAAAUAUCAAGCAUACCUGAAAAAUUCAUCGGUAGGUUUUUGUUUGUAAGGAUGGAACGGAAGCUAUAAUAUGUGGGUGUACAGCUGAAGAAAAACGCACAUCGAUCAUUUGAUGUUGUUAUCAAUUACCAG